rnacentral:rRNA from 1 species
AAUGCCAGUCUCAGAGAACAAUAUCCAGCCUUAUAUAAAAUUGCUGACGAUAAGAACAACAGUAUUGCACACGUGCUUAGUUCAUCCCUGCCGAACAUUUCAUUCAAUCGGGAUUUAAUUGGCCCCAGACUUGUGUCAUGGCAUAAUCUUUUGUCCUGGUUGGAUUCGAUUAACCUGACACAAGGUCAGGAUGUGUUUCGCUGGUACCUUACUACAUCAGGGUCUUUCACAGUAGACUAUGAAAGGAUUGAUAUAGUUGACUAG